CCAUGCAGUUCUUGCUGUCGGCUAUGGAGCUGAAAAUGGUAUUGCCUACUGGCUUAACAACACAUGGGGUGGAGACUGGGGUGAUAAUGGCUACUUUAAGAUGGAUUUUGGCAAGAACAUAUGAGGCGUUGCGAGUUGUUCGUCUUAGACCGCUGUUGAUGUGUAGAAUCUUCUAUAAAUUAAAACGAUGAGCUUAGAGUUUUGUUAUCUUUAGCAAUGUUUGAGGGUUUGUUUGAAAGAAAACUCAUAAUAAGUAGAAGGUGAGGGAAUGUGUUAAGAUGCAUUAAGGUAGUAUUGUGAAAUAUGUGAACUUUCUGUUUUGGUUGUGAUAUUGGAAAAUUCUCUUUGUUGUUUGUUUUAUUAUAAA